AUUAAACGCUGGCGGCAUGCCUUACACAUGCGAGUCGAACGGCAGCACGGACUUCGGUCUGGUGGCGAGUGGCGAACGGGUGAGUAAUAUAUCGGAACAUACCUUGUAGUGGGGGAUAACUAUCCGAAAGGAUAGCUAAUACCGCAUACGCUCUAAGGAGGAAAGCGGGGGAUCGUAAGACCUCGUGCUAUAAGAGUGGCCGAUAUCUGAUUAGCUAGUUGGUGAGGUAAAGGCUCACCAAGGCGACGAUCAGUAGCUGGUCUGAGAGGACGAACGGCCACAGUGGAACUGAGACAAGGUCCAGACUCCUAGGGGAGGCAGCAGGGGGGAAUUUUGGACAAUGGAGGCAACCCUGAUCCAGCAAUGCCGCGUGAGUGAAGAAGGCCUUCGGGUUGUAAAGCUCUUUUGUCAGGGAAGAAACGGUUGUGGCUAAUAUCCAUGGCUAAUGACGGUACCUGAAGAAUAAGCACCGGCUAACUACGUGCCAGCAGCCGCCGUAACAC
rnacentral:rRNA from 1 species